rnacentral:tRNA from 1 species
GGAGUAUCGUGGAUACCAGCCCUGAAAAGGCUGGCGUCGGCGGUUCGAUUCCAUCCCUGGCCACCA